rnacentral:lncRNA from 1 species
AUUUCAAAAAGUAUAUAUAUAUUAUAUAUAUAGAGUCAGCUACUAUCCUAUAAUAGGAUUGGAGCCAUUGUCCUAUCAAGUCGUUUUGAUUGAUCGAACUUCAAUUGAUAAUGGCACCGUUAAAAUUGAUCUACACAAUUAGAAAUGUUUAGAAACAAAUUUUGUAAUAUUUAAAAAUCAUUAUCAAGUUCAUCUUAAGAGUUAAAAAAUGAACGGUCAUAAAUGAAUAACUUCUUAAAAUAGAGGUUAGACUUUCUCAUUCAUAAUCAGAGUUAUCAAACAUUAUCUAAGUAGUAUAAAGAAUUUUCUAUCAAAAAUUUAAGCAAUUGAUGCUCUACAACCGUUAAACAAGCAACGCUCAUAUAAGCCGUCAAAAAUUUGUCAUUUACGACACUUGAUCACAUGUAAAUAAUUUUUAAAAUUUAUGAAAAUUUAAUUUCUAGAUAUUUCAAAUCUCUAGAUCAACUUCAAGCCCCUCGAUCAUCGAUUCGGGAAUCUCGAUCAUACAAAAACAAUUAAUAGACAAUGCUACUCAUUCUAUUAAUAGGAUAGUAGCUCUAGCCUAUAUAUAUAUACACAUAUAUAUAUAUAUAUAUAUAUAUAUGUUCAAAAAUCAACUUUUGAAAGGUAUAUAUGAAAACUCGGAUUUGCAGAGAUACAUAUGCAAAUAGAAAAUCUUGCAGGAACAAAUAUUCCCAUAAACAAACCAUAAUGCGUCAAAAGGAAAUGAUUAAUCUGUCAUAGAAAAAGCCUAUGAUAAUUUCUGACCUUCAGCAUUCACGAGACUGUCAGCUUUUUCUUCUCCUUGGCUAGAGAGAACACCCACUGCCGACCGGCGGUUAGGCUGGGGUUUAGGAUGAUCAUGUUUGCCUUUAUAGAUGAUUUCAGUGAUCUGCCCAUCAUGGGAUCGUUCCAACUGCUUUCUUACAUUGCAAUUAGGAUGUGUGCAUUUGUAAUAACUCCUAGGGUUUUCACUUCCUUUAACAUGUUUCUGCCCGUAUUUGCGCCAGUUAUAGCCAUCCUCUGCAGACUUUUCAAGUACAGGCAAUGGAGCAGAUCCGCUCAGAUUGGACUGUAGUUCCUGCAUGGUCUUAUCUGAACUGUCUAUUUGCUGUAGCUCAUCACAAGCUAUUUCGGAGUGCACCCCAGCCUUUAAAGUGAUAUUUUCAAUAGGUUGGGUUAAUGCAGUUUGAGGAAUUACUGGGGCAGAUUUAUGAUUCUGAACUUGACUUUGAAUCUGUACAGAAGCCUCGCACUCUUCUAACUUACCAUCAGCAGAAUCCUGCAAUGAAGGAACAAAAACAUAAGACAAAGACACCAUUAAUGCCGUACUCAACUACUCAUGGUAGUUUCGGCAAAAAGAACCAAUCUGUUUCACAUCAGUUCUUGUACCGACUAGAACGCAGAUCCACAACAAACUUGCCAACCAGUUUUGGUUAGUUUAGAAGAAAGAUAAUAGAUUUUGUCUAGUUUCUUUUGGCAAAAACUAUUCUUUUUCUUUAUAAUUGGCUGUCUACUGUGCACACACAUGGAAAUUAAUGAGGUGUCUUCUUUGACAACUCUUUCCUAUUAUGGAAAAAAGGGGAUAAGUAGGCUGUUUAAAUUAUUUUGAAGGCACAGAACCAUAUAGGAGAAUUCUUCAUGUCAUAGUAAAUCCCACUGCAAAAUCUAGAUCAAAUCCAGAAUAUAGCUUCAAAUUUGAAUAUAUUUAUUCGUCGAUAUCAACUUUUUGUUAUUGACAAAGAUUUUCACACCCAAAUUUCAAAUCCCAAAGGUAAAUGUCCAUGCAACCUUAUUCAUGAACUUGUCUGUAUCUAACCAUGCAAAGGAAGCAAAGAUUUACUACACCUAAUAAUUACUUGACAUAAUUUUUUUCCAUCAAAAUCUGCUUAUUUUAAAUUUGUCUUCAAUGAUACUAGUUCAAUUAUAUUUUAAACAAGCAUAGACUAAUCUAAAUUCUACAUGUAAGACAAUAUAUCAUUGGAUAGCUACGUUACUCUCGUAAUAUUUUGUUAACUUGUCAAUGCAUUAAUUUCCAUUGUAGUAUAAAUUUUAUGAUUAAUUUAUCAAAUUUCCUUCCUUAUAUUUUAGGGGGAGGGGGAAUGAAAUACUAGUAACUAGCAUCUUUCAUUCAAUAACAACAUAUUCUCAACUAAUUCCAAAAUAUAAUUUGAUUUCCUAUUUUCUCGAAUUCUUGAUUUUGGGAAGAUCACCAAUCAGAAACAGCCAAGUUUAGGUCAGAGAUCCCAACAGUGUCAAAAUGUUUCUGUUAGUUAAGUUGCAAAAUUCAAGAACAGUUAUGGAAAGGAAGCAAGAAAGGAAUGAGAGAAGGCAGAUGAUAGAUCCGUCUUACUCUAAAAGAAGCCCUUGGAGUGUAAAGGAUGAAAGAAAAACAUGAAAAUUAAAAAACAACUGUUUCUUUUGAAGAUUAAUAAGAUGGAAAAUGUUACUCACAAUAAAGUAAUCAAACUACUUAUUCCUUCCUUUACAAACAGGACAUAGAAUUAGAAGUCCAUUUAUGAAAGAGGUCCAUUUAUAGAAGAGUAAUAGAUAGUAUAGAUAGUUCAACUCCUCAAUUGUAGCUGUGCAUACAGAAAAGCUAGGUCCAUGAAACAGAAAUACGCAUCGUGAAUAAACCGCCAAGAAGGCAAAGCAAACCAAAUAGAUGCCAAAUGUGAUACCAUAGCAGAUUAUCCAAACAUUGCAGAAAUGUAUCCAAGCACACCAACAGCUUGGCGGAGUCCUAUAAAGUACCUAUAUUGUGGCAUGGCAAUGGCAGCUGUGGAGGUAACAAUUGAGAGGUAUGUGGUGCAAAUGACAAAAAUAGGUAUUUUAGAGUACGUAGCAGAAACAAUAGUCAAAAGAGAAGAAAGAAUAGCUUUUGUAGAAAAUGUAGUGUCAACAAUAGUCAAAAAGAGAAGAAAGAACUACAGUUGACAAAGGCUGAAAGGUUAAGUUUCUUGAAUAAAUCCCAUUAAAAGCGGAGUAUGAUUUUAAAACUAUAAAAGAUGUUGGUCACGGGUUACAAAUUACACGCAAGACAAUGAGACAUACCUACUUGUUGUUACCACUGCAAGUAAGCAAGUUUUACCCUUCAGAUAAUCUGGUGCCUUAGGUUAUACUCAGACUAAAGCAGUGAGCAGCAACGCGUUUUGCAGGCAAAGAUUUCUUCUAGCUAAGAUAUGCUAACACAGACACUGACUUCGUACUAGUGGGCUAGAUAAACGUACUCCAGCUAUUCAAGGUUAAGAAACAGGGCAAACACAAAUUAUUGAAUGGAUUCUGAGAAUACAUGCUUAGUCCAGUAACCGCUAUUUGCUUUAGCCUAAAUAAUAAUAUCCAUAGAUUCCAAAUGGACAACUACAUAAUGACAUCAAAGAAGUUCUAACUAGAAAAUUUACCAAAAUAUAUCAACAACUUUAGAAACUAUAGAAGAAAGAAAGUUACUUGAGGUAGCAAUGAAGGCACUGCUGAGUGCAAAGAGGAUCCGGCAUGAAGCUUAAAUUCAAAAUCUCCUGAACUCUUAUCACUGUAUACACUAUUAGAAGUCUCCCUUGGAGAAGAUAGUUUGCUCGAAUGAACAGAUCUAUUCAUCAUAUAAGAUAUGUUCAAGGUUCCAGUAGUUGGGGAGGGCUCAGCCUGUCAAAAAAACACAACAAGCAGGUAAAUUGCAAGAUCUGUAAUGUACUCCUCAAGAAAAGUAAGAAAAAUUUUGGAACCUUCUAUGACCCAUGCCUGCUGCCUUUACCAUAUAUCUAAAUGAUUGAAGUACGAUAAUAUAUCGCAUGUGAGCAAAACCUUAGAUGGGACUGGCUUGGCACAAAGCAAAAAUACCACACAACUGUAUUAUAGAUUGCUUUUUUGCUAACCGAAGCAAGAAAAGUUAUUCUUUUCAGGCCCUUGACAACAUACUGAAAUUCAUUAAACAGGAGAUCAAUUAACAAAAUAGCCAUUAGGGUAAUGUAGCAGAAGCAACAAAAAUCAUUCUCUUUAGAGGCCUUCGAAACCAUACUGACACUUAGAAAAUUGGUAAAUCGAUCAGUAAAAUAACACUUAGAGUAAUGCCCCUAAAUCAAAUUCCUUGAUAAUAUUACCAAGUCUCUCCUCUUAAGCACCAUUUUCCUCUUCGCCGUCUUCCUUUUUCAUAUACCAAACUUCCUCAUAAACUGCCCCACCAAAGCUACAUGUCUUAUUCAAUAUACAAUCUCAAAAACACAAAUAAUAGAGAAUAAGUAUAUAACUUGGUGAGUCUACAAUCAUAAUCAAAACAGAUUCCCAAGCAAAAUGAGAUCAAACAUAUAAAAUAAGCAGAUCACUAACAAAAAGGUGGGCUAUGGAGGGACAUCUCUAUCAUAAGAGGGGGGACAAAAAAGGCGGUGUGUGUCUAGGAGAAAGAUUCCCAACCCAAGCCAAUAAACAAAGAACAUGUUUUGUUUAGAAUUUCGCAUGACAUACACCCGCAUAAAGGUAGGAACAGAAGAGAAUAAAGCGAGCAUCAGAGUUCAAGCCACAUCUUAAUGCACUUCCACCAACUUUUUUGUCUUUUAUUGCUCUCCUCCACUUCGUCCCCUCACAGGAAAUUUUGAGAACAGCUCAACAAUCUUACAUAAUUUUACACGGACAAAACAAAUUCACAUAUUACAACAGGAAUUAUUAGGCAACGUAAAGUUAAUGAAACAUCUCACUAAUUUAAUUAUGGCAUCGCGAAGUUGUACACUUGAAGUGUCAUUUUAGGGGACGCAGAUCCUCAGUAUGAUUAUACUGAUAAAAAUAGCCCUAAAAUAGCAUGAUUUAAGACAAACCAUACUGUAACUUGAUCGGAAAAAAAGAGAAGUGAUGAAACAGAUCAAAUUUAGCAUCAAAAUUAAGGGGUAAAAAAGGGCGAAAGAGAGAUCGAGAACGAGAGAACGGGGUCAGAUCUCGUGCCUUGAUGUUGGUUAGGAGGACGGGGGAUUCGAGGAGGGCGGAGGGGCUGAACCCUUGGGGGAUGGUGAGGCACGGCGCCCGCGUGGCGAUGGGGAGGCGGCCCGGGGACAUCGCCUUGUACCUCGCCGCGCUCGCCGCCGCAAGCGAUGAAACCCUAGGAUGCACCGCCGCCCCCUCCCCCACCGAUCCGCUGCCGCCGCCUCCAGCGGCGAGACCCUCCGAUCCGAGCUCCGGCGCCGGCGUAGCUCCCUCCCGCCCCCCGCAGGCGAGAUCGCCGGCGUUCGCCGGAGAUUCCUCCAUUACUGGAUCUCGAGAUCGAGAUCGAGAGAGAGAGAGAGAUAGAGUGUGUGGAGAGUGGAGCAGAGGCGGCGAAGAGAGAUGUUAUAGGAGGAAGAAGAAGAAGAGGGGAGCAGGUGGGUUUCGGUUUUGGGAGAUCGUAAGAUGGGGGUACUUUGGGAAUUUCACUAUUUAGGUAGUGUGUUUUGGUUCCUUUGGUCAGUAACCACAUCUCGAAAUUUAACGAUGAACCGAGUUCACCACGUCAUCUGUAGACCGUUCCAGUUCCCAACCAUAUCGUCCUUAGGGGAGGACGAACUUUAAAUACUGGUUCACAAAUGACCUGGUGAACCAUGUUCCCCCAAUAUUCCUGAUAAAAUCUGGCCGUUCAAAAUUCUUUAGUGCAACCUUUUAAUUCUUUAUUAACAAAUGUACGGAGAUCCCUUUUCAUAAAAAUGUACGGAGACCUUCUAACUACAGCUGUCUUUGAAAUCGACCCUCAACUUUUUUUUUUUGGCAACUUAUAAUUUUAUUUAUUUAAAAAUAAUAAAACUUUAUUGAAUUUAAUAAAAUUAUUAAUUAAUAUUUUUUUUAAAAAAAAGUUUAAUAUUGUUGUCUAAAAUCACUUAAUUACGGGAAUUUUAGAAGCUGAAAGAAUCUUAUACAAAAAUCGUUGAGGGGUCUCCUUGCAUUUUAUUACCUUAUUUUCCUCCUUUGUUCUAUGACAUGUGGGACCCACAAUGACACGUCACACUGCGUUGUCGCCGUUACACCGAAAUCGAUCUCCGUGGCUCCGUGACACAGUUGACUCGGGAGUCGGGAGCGCUCUGUAAUGGUGGCGGUUGUUAAAUGACGAUAAUACCCCUCCAAGUCGAAGCGAGCACGAAACCGGUGGGAUUUGUGAAAUGACGAUAAUGCCCCUACUUGUCCCGUUCCGAUAGGGCUGUAGCCAAUGGGCGCACGCGGUUCAUGGACUGGAGGAGUAGAGAACUAAAGCCACACGCAAAUGGAUUUGGAUCGGUAGAGUUUUCGCUUUGAUCCGUUUUAAAUUAUCAAUUAAAUAAAAAUAAAAAAUAAAAAAAAAUAUUUUAAAUUCGUCCUGAUUUAUUAAUGGAGUAUUCGAUUUGCCCAAAAAAUUUGAAAAAAUAUUUUAGAAAAAAUUCCUUUUUCAGUAUUUCGGCUAAUUUUUUUAUAUUAAUAAAAAUUAAUAUUUUUAUUUUUAAAUUUUUUUAGAAAAAUAAAAAUACUAGUUUUUCAUCAAAUUUAGAAAUAAGUUUUUUAUUAAAUUAAAGACAGAAAAUUGAAAAAACAAAUAUUGCCUGGAAAAAUUUUUCUCGAAAAAAAAUUUUUUUUUUUGAGAAAUCAAACGGCUCGUAAGAAAAUAAAGUAAAAGAUGAAAAAUUACUUUUUUUUUUUUCUUUGAAUAUGUCAAAAGUUUAAUUCUGUCCCAACUCGCCGUCAACUAAGCAGUAAGCAGAGAUAAUGUAUAAAUAAAAGAUUAAACUAUUUGGCAAAAUUAUCCUGUUUGCCUUCCUAUUAAAGAAUUGCUUUUUCAUAUUAACGUGUUGUUUAAUUUGUAGAAUUACAACGCAAAAGAAAUUAAAGUGCUUAUAUACAAAAUUAUAAAAUAUAUUAUUGGGUAUUAAGUAAUUCGAUAUUGCUCCUAGGAAAAAAUGAUUGUACGAUUCAUAAAAACAGUAUCUAAAAUUUAAUAAUUUUGUAACUAAAUUUUUUAGAAUAUCAUAAAAUUAUAUUCGAUGAAAUUGACGUUUAAUUUCAGGAAUCGAACGUAAGAUUUUGGAGUGCAAUAUACGAAAUGUAUUUAUACGAUUCUUCGUUACAAGACGGAGCGGAUUAUGAGAUGUAUUUUUUAAUCCGUCACAGAUUCGAGGUGGAAGGUGGGGCGGGAUUUUACUAGUCGGGACGGGAGGCUGGCCCCCAGAUCCACCCCGACUAGCAAAUCAUGUAAUGAGCAAUUUACUCAUUAGAUGUUAUCCUUGUAUAUAAAAUUUCUGCAUAUAAAAUUUACUUAUGUCUUCGGGGCAGAUCUGGGGAUGGGAACCCCGCCCCGCCUCCCGCNNNNNNNNNNNNNNNNNNCCCCGCCAACUAAUAUUUUUUAUAAAAUUAUAAUAUUAUUAAUAUUUUAUAAAAUAUAAAAUAAUAAUUUUUAAUAAUAUUAUAUAUAUAAUUUAACAAUAUCAAUUAUAAAAAUCAAAAAUAUCAAUCACAAUUCAAAAAAAAAUUCAAAAGUUUCAAAUAUAUUAGAAAAAAGAGUACUAACUUGUAUUUUAAACGUUUUUAUAAAUACAUUAUUUUUUAGAAAUAUUUUUUAAAAAUAUAAAUAAUUUUCGAGGCGGAUUCGGGGCGGAUCAUGGCAGGGCGAAUUCGGGGCGGAUUCGGAGUGGGUCAAAAUUUUCCCCGUUUCCUGCUCCGAAUUCGUCUCGGAUCGUAAAAUUUACCCUGUUUCCCACCCCGAAUCCGUUUCGAAUUGUAAAAUUUACCUCGUUCCCCGUCCUGAAUCUGUUUAUUUUCUCCUAUUUACUGCCCCCGUUGGAACAGAUCGGGACGGGAGCUCUACCAAUCCGGAUCCGUUUGCAUCCUAGAUGUUGCAAGGGCAGAGAGAUGAGAGCCCUUUGAGCCCUCAUCUGUGGGUAUGUAAGGCCUCGUCGAAGCCUAAGUCCACUAGUUCUUACCAAAUAUAUUAAAUUAAUAUUUUAUUUUAAAUUUAACUAAAUUGAAUACAUUUUAAUUCAAAAUUCAUACAAAUGUCAUCUAAUUAGUAAAUUUUUUAUUUAUUAUUAACUUUUUAAGUAUAAUACAUCAAAUUACUAAAAAUGCAUAACAAGCAGAUAUUAUUUACCUAAUAUACAAUAUAAAAAAUACAUAUUUUAAAAACAUUUGAUCAAAUUAAAAAUAUAUCAAAGACAUCAAAAUUUGCAUUAUAUAUAUAUAUAUAUAUAUAUAUAUAUAUAUAUAUAUAUAUAUAUAUAUAAUAUUAUAUGUUAUAUAUUUGACAGAAGGAAUUUUUCCUCUGUUUUCUUAAGAGCAAAACGCUCGUCAUUACCACCCUAUUCGGGGCUAGGGCCUAGGGAUGUCAAUAUGUUGGAUUCAGGGUGGAUUUUCAAAAACCUCAAUAUGAAUCUGACUCCAAACACGAAAUUGGAAUCUGAAUCCGAACUGACAGAUUUUAAAAAUUCACAUACAAAUCGAAAUCCGACCAAAAAUUCAAACUCAAAACAAUUAUUUUUUUUUCAAUAUUUCAAAAUAUAUUACAUUAAUUUUUUUUUAAGAGAUAGAUAGCAUGCUACCCACUUCGUUUAUUUCAUUUAGAAAUAAACUUAGCUGGAAAUGUGAAUCAACAAAUAUUCAAACUUGGGACCUCAAGUAUCAACCACCAAGUCCUUUGCCACUUGCGCUAAGGACGGUCGGUUUAAAUUUAAAAUUUUAAAAUACAAAUUCACAUAUAACAUCAAAUUUUUAUAUACAUAUUAUAUAUAAUGUAAAAUAAAUUCGGGUAUGAGUCAGAUUCGGGUCAAGUUCGGAUUCGGGUCGAAUACAGUCAAAAUCCAUAUCCGAAUUCAUAUCCGUUGAGUUUUUAUUUUUGAUAUUCAGAUUCAAAACCAUAUUUGUUUAGUAUCGAUAUAUCCGCUAUGUUCAGGUUCGGAUUCAAAUAAAAUUUUCGGUAUCUGUACCCAUUGACAUCCCUAUUCGGGGUGGAUUCUAGUAGAGGCAGGGGUGGAAACGAGCCGGGCUCGAGCGAGCUUUCCUUAGCUCAAAUUUGGCUUGAAAUUAAUUUCGAGCCUAAAUUUAAGCUCAAGCUUGGAUUGAAAUUAAUUCGAGCAGAGCUCGAGCGAGCCUAAUUUCGAGUCGAGCGAGCUCGAGCCCUAAACGAGCCGCUUGAAAUUCUCAACAUCAUAUGAUCAAUAGUUUAAUUUGUAUAGAACAUUAUCUAUAAUUUGAUACAAAAAAUUUGUCUAAUAGUUCAAAGUAUAAAAUAAUUAUAUAAAAUAUAGUAUUAUAAUAUGAAAAAAAAAUUAUGAGUUGAAUAUCUAAACUUUUCAGCCUCACAUAUCUUUUCUUCCACCUUCAAUCUCUAUAUUAUUUAUUUUUAUUUAUGCAGUCAAAAAUAAAUAAAUUAUAUAGAUAAAUAUUGGAUUAAACUAUCCAAUCAUAUAUAACUAAAAUUAAAAUUUCUGUACAUUUCGCAGCAUAUAAUUUAGCUACGCUAGCGGCACGACGAUAGUUGUGAUAUCUUGGUGGCUUGGAGGGCUUCAUUGGCCACAUAGGUGUGAGAGACGAAAAGAGAAGAGAGAAACAUAUUGAAUUAGAGCUAUGCUGAAGAAAAGAAAGAAAAUGUUAAUUUAGUAAAAUUUUGCCUUUUAUUUGUCUUAUUGGGUUUGUUUUUAUGGGAGCAACAUAUUGAGCCCAUUUUAAUAAAUCAGAUAUUCAGUCUCAGCUAUAUAAAUUAAAAUAUAUGUAUAUUUAUAUAUUUUUUGAUAUAUAUAUAUAUAUAUAUCUAUAUAGUAUUAAUAUAUAUAGCUGAGGACACUAUACUUUUGGUAUAGACCCGCCUUAUUACUAUAUGUAUUGAUGGGAUUGUGUGGUUAGGAUGAUGGCGGGGCGCUACUUAAAAUGAAAGUGAGUGCAUCUUAGGGUUAAUUGGGUGUUGGUUAAUAGUCUGAUUCUAACGGGAUGAAAUGGAUUAAUGGAAUUAAAUCUAAGGGUCGAAAUUAUGAGUAUAAUGAGCAUAUCUAAAAUUAUAGUAGCCGAUUAUUAUAUUAUAAUAUAUAUAUAUUAUAUAUAUAUAGACAGGCUGUGUUGUGCUCAGGAUGACGGAGGCUCGUGCUCCUGAGCACUGUUUUCGAUGGAUGAGCUUCGAAUCGCCGAUCGGCAUCGUUAACUUUGAUCUAGCGUAUAUUUAAAGUUUUCUAGAAAUAAUUUUUGCGAUUUCAGAUAUCAUUUUACCUGCAAUCGAAAGGAUUCAAAAUCAAUAAUUUAACGCGCUGAAAUAAAAAAUCCUAUAAAAGUGCGUGAUAUGCACUAAAUUUUCGUACGAAUAUAUGAUUUGUUGUAGUGAGUAUAAAAAUUUUCUAUCAAAUUUAUCUUGAUUUUAAUACUUCUACACUUUUAACUUGAAAAACUGCAGUAUAACAUUAAAUUAUUAGAUUUUGGAAUCUUGUCGUACUAGGUAAAUGAUAUCAGAAAGAUCGCAAAAUGUUUCUAGAAACUUCAAAUAGCAAUAGAUCAAGUCUAACGGAGCCGGAUGUCAAUUCAAAUUCCAAUUCAUCGAAGCGGAGUAGGAGCACGGAGGCUCUUCCGUGUCUGGGAGCAGUCAGCUGAUUAUUAUACUAUAUCUAUAUAUAUAUAUAUAUAUAUAGUGGUAGAACUACUAUGCUAUGGAAAAUAUAGAGGAUUUGAUAUUUUUGAAUUUUUGACUCUUUGAUUAAGAAUUGUAUGGUUGGGAUGAUUGCGGUCUCCCAUAGGAUUAAAUAAUAUCCCUAAGAUUGAGUGGUCCCUAUAAGAUAAUAAUAGUAUUAAUUCAAAGAAAUGAUUAGUUGAUCUAAAAAUCAAAAAAUCGAAAGCACCAGAUCCUCUAUACUUUCGAUAACAGUGUAUAUAUAUUCGAGCUUUUCGAGCCUAAUUCGAACGAGCCAAGUAAUACUCAAGCUCGGCUUGAAAUGAAUUUCGAGCCUUAUUUUUUGUUCAAGCUCGGCUCAUUUAAUUUCGAGUCGAGCUCGAGCGAACCAAAUAUCGAGUCAAACGCGAAUCGAACACGAGUUGGCUCGCUCAUUUGCCAGCCCUAAGUAGAGCCCUAAAUUCGCUGAAAAAGUUAUUGUGAAAGAAACCACUAGUUUUCUGUAAUAAAUAAACAAACUUGUGCAAAAUUGAAUUUGGAUAAAUCUAAUUUCAUGUCUAAUUAAUUUUGCCUGUAUACCCUAAUGCAUACAUAUUUCAGAAAAAGGUUGAUCAAUUAAUAGAUUCUCCAGUUAAAAAUUAGGUCAAUCAAAUAAAUAAUUGGACAUAACCUGGGUUCUUUUCAUCCCUAAGAACAAAAAAGAUCAUAGAGUUGCUCGGUCCCUACUCUUUAUCCGCUUUUUUUUUUUUUUUUUUUAUCUCACUUUUUAACUUCUAAUUUUCUUGCAAUUAAGUCUUUGUUUUCAUUAAUUUUCUAGCAUUAAUAGGUCAGUUGAAUUUAGUGAAAGUUACUACGUGACGAGAUCAAGCGCUAACAUGGUGAAAAUUGUUUAGGAUGUUUUUAUUAGAGUUAACAAAAUAUUCUAUAACGAAAACAUAGUGAAAAAAUUAAUAAUCAUUAGAAACAUAAACUAUAAGAUAAUUAAUUAGGUAAUCGAUUUUUUUGCGAGUUUGGUCGGCCGAGUAUUCGCUUCUCUUCAUCUCUAGUUAUGCAUUUAAUUUUUCCAACCGUAUUUCAAAUUUAGGUUAAAGAUCAAUACAGGUUCUUAUUUAUUUAUUUAUUUAUUUAUUUUUGAAAGAUAGGUAGCAUAUUAUCCGCUUCGUUUAUUUCAUUUAGAAAUAAAUUUAGCUGAAAAUGUGAAUCAACUAAGAUUCAAACUUAGGUCGGGUACCAACCACCAAGCCCUUUACUACUUACUCUAGAGACGGUCGAUAAUACAUGUGAGAAUGAUCGUGUCUUUUUUUAGGGUGUGCAUUCAUUAUGUUGUUAAUUAACAGCGGAAUCAACCCUAACUGUAGGGAUUUUUGAAAAUGCAUUUCCAGGUUUGGUAGGGGAGGGGUCCGUUUUACGAAUUGAAUUCACUUGUAACUUGUAAGUUGGAUAAAGCCAAAUCACUCAAUUAAGUUGAGGGGUAAUUAAAAACUUCAAUAGUUCAGGAGUAAUUUGAAAAUAUUCUAUAGUUCACUCAAUUAAGUUGAGGACUAGUUUCAAAAUAUUCUAUAGUUCAGGGGGCUCCAUACAUAUUUACCUAGCUAUGCUUCUGCUAACUUUCCAACUAUAAAUACCAUCCCUCUCAUUCGAUUUUUUUGCAAGCAAUCCAGUUUCUCCUCACUCCUCAAACUCUAGAGAGAGAGAGAGAGAGAGAGAGAGAGAGACCGUGAGAGGCCGAACCCCGGAGAAUCCCCAACCCUACUUCCCCAAAUCCCCCUCGAAAUCGCAUCUCCCCAACCAUUCCGAUCCCAGUCCCUGCCACACCCUCGUCGUCCUCCUCCGAUUCGGCGCCGAUUAGGGUUUCGAAAGCUGCAUAAUGGGUUUGCUCUUCGUGGAGUCGCUCCCCGACCAGGAACUGUUCAGGUGCGGAUUGUGCGAGGUCGUUAUCGCUUCCGCCGACGCGAUCAUGUCCACGAACUUCACCGGCCGCUUCGGCGCCGCUUGCCUCAUGGACAGAGUGUAUGUGCUCUCCCUCCUCUACCAGCUACAAUGGUGUUUGGGAUCGUGGUGGUAUAAUCUUCGGAAGCUCGCAUGUAAUGGAUGAUGUGAUAUUGUUGAAUCUUGAUUUGAUUUGGUAUGAUUUUCCUCAAAAUCUUGAGGAUUGUGAAUUUUACUGAAUUUUAAACGCCUUUGUGUGGUAUUUAUGUGUUCUUUAGAGUUAUCCAUACUACUGGUUGAUUGUUGUCGCAUUUGAGGUGAUGCUUGGGAUCAUGGUGAUCUAUUCUCUUGAUUUUCUUUCGAGUAAUGCUACCUCUUCCCUAGAAAUUCAAUCAAGUUCGGUUGAUGAGUCGGAUUUCCAAAAUGGAAUCUUAAGAGGGCAUUAUGUUUGAAAAGUUGAACCACUAGCUAACUGCAAUUUUGUAAACGUUGACUCAUCAACUGCAUUUGAAGAUACAUUGUAAGGUACCUAUAGCAUUGUUUAUUUCAUUAAUAGACAAAAUGGAGAAUUUGUUAGGUUCUUAAAUCUUGAUUGGAUAUGGUAUCUAUGAAAUAUGAAACAUUCACUAAUCUUGAAGUUAAUAGUUACAUACUGAACUCUGCAAUAUCUUUUGGGAUGCUUAUGUGAUUGUCUCUAUGUUAGGGCCCGUUUGGCCUAGAUUCAGAAAAAAACAAUUUCUACACAAUUGAUUUUAGUUUGGAGAAUUGAUUUUGGUUAAAAGCUGUAGAGUAUUUAGUUGAGUUUAGAUGAAAAGCGAUUUUGUAAAGUUAUUUAACAAAAAAAUUUGAUGUUUGGAAAAUAGUAAAUGGAAAAUAAUAAACUUUUUACUGAAUUUUAUUGUAAAAUAAUUGAAAUUUUCAAUUUAAAUUAAAAUUUGAAUUUGAUUUGAAUUUAAAUUUAAUUUUAAAUUUUAAAUUUGCACGAUAUUUUAAAAUUUGAUAUUUUAAUUUAAAAUAUAAAUUUGGAACUUAAAAAUUAAAAUUUAAAAUUUGAAUUUCUAAAUAUAAAAUUAAAAUUUCAAUUAGAAAUUUAAAAUCUAAAUUUGAUAUUUGAAAUAUAAAUUUAAAAUUUAAAAUUUUAAAUAUAAAUUUUAAAAUUUGAAAUUAAAAUUUCAAAAUUUAAAAUUUAAAAUUUGAAUUUUAAAAAUUUGAAAUUUAAAAUUUGAAAAUUGAAAUUUAAAAAUUAAUAUUUAUUAUUUUAGGUUUAAAAUUUAAAAUUUAAAUCUUAAAUUCUAAAAUUUUAAAAUCUAAAUUUUAUCUUAAAUCUUAAAUUUGAAAAUUGAAAAGUUGAAUUUUGAAAUUUAUAUUUGAAAUUUAAUAUCAAAUUUAAAAUGUUAAAAUUUGAAAUUUAAAAGUUAAAAUUUGAAAAUUAAAAAUUCAAAUAUAAGAUUUAAAACUAAAAAUUAAAAUUUGAAUUUAAAUUUAAAAUUUGAAUCUAAAAUAAGGAUAAAAAAUUAAAAUUUGAGUCCAAAAUCAGAGUUAGAUUUCAAGAAAAAUGAUCCUAAAAAUUAGAAUUAGAUUUUGAAAACGAGAUUGCCAUACACUCUAUUGAGCCAAAAAUCAUUUUUAGGCCAAAAAUCACUUUUCAAAAGUUAUGCCAAACACCCACUUAAUGUUUUAUUUCAGAAUUCUUUGAUCUUUAGGUCUGAUUGUUACUAUUCAAUUAUGUGUAGUUUAGCGAAAAAUUUUUCACAGAUACAAUGAUGUAAAAUAUACUGUAGAAAAUGCUCUCCAUAAUGAUUUAAGUAUGGCAGUGUUGGAAUUAAGAGAGAGAGAGUGUCUACCUCUGAUCGACUAAGCCAUUUAUCAUUCUGAUUCACUCUGUUAUACAUAGAGAGCCAUAAUCCUAUAUUUAUUGAAGCCAUAGAAAUUAGAACAAAGAACUUUUUUGUGCAACAGACGGGUAACCUAUCAUUGCCUGUAUCAUUCUGAUUUGCUCUUUUAUACAUAGAGAGCCAUAAUCCUAUAUUUAUUGAAGCCAUAGAAAUUAGAACAAAGAACAUUUUAUGUACAACAUAUAGGUAACCUAUCAUUGCCUAGUGUAGACUAAGUAGCAGCAAUAUGGAAUUCUAAUGACGGAUAUUAUCCGUAAACUAUAUAUUUUCGCUGGGCUAUCACUUUAGUAUAGCUCAUGACUAAGGGGUGUAGGCCAUGGAGUCGCAAUGAUUCAUACCUCGAAAACAAUUAAUGAGGCGCUAUCUUCAUUGCUUAUUUAAUAUCCACAAAGGAAGUCCAAUUUUCACUUUGUUUGAUGGUUUGAGAUGUCUAUUUUUUAGUUCCUUUGGUGGUUUGAGAUGUUAAAUUUGCAGGUAUAGUAUAAUCUGUCGCUGUCGCUUACACAUAGUGAUGGAAGUCAUUAACCUCUUGACAAACAUUGGAGCGUCCAAUGAUCCCUCAAUCUAUGAACUACAAUCAAUUUAUUGAAUUCCAUUUUUCCCUUUCUUCAUAUUUUGUCUUUUGUUAUACCAAUAUAUAAAUUUUAUGCUAAGGAUUAUCUAUUAUUACUUCUCAUAUGUCAGUUAAAUUAUUUCCAUAAACGUAUAUUUCAACCAAGUGCAUAUAAGAAGCUCAUUUUAUUGAACCUCAAUUGCUAUAUAUUUUAACUUCAAAAUUUUCUCAAAAUGCCAAAAUUUGAAUUUAAAAUAUGACACUCAAACACAAAAAAGCCAAGUUGGAUUAUGAUGUGAGAUAAUCUUUCGUAGUGCAUAGUAGGAGCUUGAUCUUUCUUCAACAUCUUGAAUUUUGGCUUCCUUAUGUCUUUCUAUUCUCAGGAUUAAGGCUUCAUCAUUUUUCAGUCAGCAGCACAGCAAGAUGAUAAUGUUUGCUAUAGCCUGAAACAAGGAUAAAAAUUUAUUUGGAUGCCAUAUUUUACUUGGUUUACAUUUUGUUUUUAGUUGUUAAACUCUUUCAAUUUGUUCUAUCUUCUUGGGCAGUGUGAAGCUUUGAUGUACUUUUAUUAUUAUAUUGAAGUGUGAAAGAACAUUAUACUUUUGUUAAUCUUAUAAGUUUGCUGCAGCAUUAUGGCAUGCUUUUUUGAAAUCUUAUAUCACGAGGAACGAAAUCUCAUUUUCAAUUAAGGGAAUGGCUUAAUGAGUGUGUUGAUUUCUUAUGUCCAUCAUUAGGUCGUUAUACUGCUGAUGCACUUUAUGUAACAUAUCAUUAAUCAGAAGUUUGUUAGUUUUCUGUAGGUUUUCAGUUUGAGUAUUUGUGGUGUAAUUUCAGAGUGAAUACAACCUCGAGCCAAACUGAGACUAAGCAAAUGUUGACUGGCACUUAUGACGUGAGCGACAUCCAUUGCAGCUCUUGCCAACAAUUGCUUGGCUGGAGAUAUGUAAGUCAAGAGUCCGAUUACUCUUUUAUGAAUUUUUCGCAUAUAUACCCCCUCUAGAUAUGCAGAAUUUCCCUUGUUUGCAUGUGUCACCUGCUGGGCUUUAUGCAAAAUUUUUUUUUGCAUAUACCCUAACAGACGGAUGAAUGCAAAUAAAUACUCUUUAGGGGCAGCUGUACAAAUUUUAAACUUACGGGGUAUUUGUAUAGUUUUGUGUAUUUUACAAGGUAACAUGUUGGCAAUCCUUUAUUUCUUAUACGUACUCUUUUGAGAACCCAUUUUCAUGCUUUCGAUGCCUAAUUGAUGAAAUUGAUAUUAAGAUUUUGAUUAGGGUUAAUUUUCCCUAACCUCAAAGAGAUUUAUUUAUAUCAAGGAGUUUUUACAGUAAAGUCCCUAACAUAAUGUAAAAUUACAAAACUACAAAAGUAAUGCAAAAUUAUAAAAGAAUAGUCAACACUAAUCAUUGAUGAAAGACAUAGAAGCUCUCUCUAAUUGUGUCAAUAUUUAUUCUAUUGUACAAUGUCAAAAAAAGUUAGAGGUCAUUUAUGUGUUGAAGUUGGAAUUGAUAUAGGAUAAUAUUUCACCAUUGUUGCUUUGAAUUUGUUAGAAUCAAAGGUUGUGUUGCCCAGCCUAUUUGGCUGCAUUGUUGGCAUAUUGGUGUUGGCACAAUGUCAGGAUGGAUCCUUGUCAAUUUAGUUUGGUUUUGGAAGUCCUUUGACAAAAGAAAUCACUUGGACUCUCUUUCAAUUCUCUCUUCUCCUUCCUUAAUUCUCCUACUCUUAAAGCAAUUGAAAGGAAGGUCAGGCCUUCACCAAGAUAGAUCAUGGUAAACUUUGAAGAUUUGUAGAUAUUUCUUGUGGGUUGUUUAUUUCGCUAUAUAUGUGUAAGAAAGUAUGACCAUUUUCAUGCAUAGAAACCCUUUAUCUAGGGUUUGUUACGUUUGCUGAGUAGGUAGGAUCUGCCUCGUUAUUGGGAGGAAUUUUCAUUUGCUGCAUUUUCUUUUCUUUUUUUUUGGUUCCGAACAAAUUUGAAUAUUUAAGUUGGAAAAAAAAAAUUUGGUUUGGCAUUGGACGUUAGUAGAUCUUCUAGAGGAACUAAAACUUGUUGAGGCCCAGUCAUGAAUUUCAAUUAGCAGUACACCUUUUUUAAGCAAAAAAAUUGCUUUUGUAUCAUUUUAUGCAAUUUUUUCCAUCUUUUGGUCAAUUCUGGGAAAUAUAGUUAAAAAAUUGGUAAAAUUGGAGUAAAGCAUGUUGGCUUAUUAAAAGAGGCCUUGUAUGCUUUUCCCUUCAACUAUCAUGUAAUACUAUGAUUUUGCAAUGAAAAUUAAUUCUUAUAUUAUCUUUUUAAUUGCAGAAAUAUGUGAAAAGUUUGUUGAGUGAAAUUCAAAAAAAUUUGCGUAAAAUAAUGAUGUUGAGAAGAAAAAUUCAAAAAUAAUUGCCAUGUAAGUUUCAUUGAGUUAAGGCAUUCAUUCAUUGUAAAGAUCAAAUAUCUAGAUAUCAUAGUCUCUUUCAUCAUAUAGCAUUUUUUCACGAGUAAAUAUUAGGAAACAUGAUAAUACAUAAUUAGUUCUAUAUACAGCUAGAAAAGUAUAGCGCUUCAAUCAAAUUUGAGCUCCAGCUAAAUUUUUAUAGUAAUUAGAAGCCAUUAGGAACUUACAUCCAUCCAAAAGGGUAUCAAAACUCUUGUGCCAAAAGGGUUUCAACCCGUGUAGUGGGGGUAAUCUGCAUCCCAAAUGUUAGGGUAGCCUGUCUUGAAGAGUGUACUCGGACCACAAACGUGAGCCUUGGUUGGAAUUUUGUUGUUUCUUGUUAGGAAUGUAGUUAAUGUGCACGUUUGUGCAACCGGAUUUAGCAUCAUUGACAAUAUAGCAGAUAUCAUACUUCUAAACAGCCUUAGAAGUUUGUGAGAUGAUAUCAUUUCAAUUUUCUGUCUCUUUGCAUCUCUAUGCACCAUAGAGGCCAUACUUUUAUCUCUUUCCAGGUUUAACUGGUUAGUGUGAAUUUGUUCCUUAGCUUGAGCUGUUGAGACGUGCUCUUUUCAUGUGGAUGCCUUUCAAAUCUAUAUAUGAAAAAGCAUGCUUGUUAAGAAAACAUCCUUUUUAUUAGGUUCUUGUAACGGAAAAGUUUUUCAAUUUUGUCGAUGGUGUUCGCCUGGACACAUCUUGAAAGUGCAAAUCUGGAACAAUCAUGAAAGCUUAGAAGCCAAAGUUUUGAGCAUCGAAUGAAAGCAUCUAAAUACAAGCUUAGCCUAUUUUGUAAAUGCGAAACAGAAACCAUCUUGAGAGCAUGUACUCUUUUGUACAUCAUUUCAUUCUUAACUUGUUGGAGAUUCCUUUUUCUUUCAUGCGUAUAUUAUCUACCAUAUAGUUAGCUUUUUUCUUCUAUCUAUCUGACAUUUUUCUGUACUCUAAUCAUUUUUGGCACGUAUUUAGCCAUUUAUUGAGCCCCACGCUACUCUACAGGACCGUGCAUUCAGUGAAGACCAAAAAUUCAAGGAAGGGAAGUAUGUUUUGGAGUUGAGUAGAGUAGUAAAACAUGGCUGGUAAUGCAUAUAGGCGGUGCUAGAGAUGAAGCUCGAAGUCUAUGUGUCGGCGUUGUGGUAGAGAAUUGGCAAUUGCCGACAUGAACUUGUGAGCAAAUACGAUUUUUCAUAGUUUUUGUUGACUUGGACUAAGAUUUAGAGUUCAGAUUGUUGCUUGGCUAAAACGGGAGGAGAAACUGAACUGAAGGUUGUCUUGGCUUGAUGUGCUACUGCAUUUGGUAGCGAAUUAGUUAGUAUUGGAGCCAAACCCUGAUGCUUGAUAUGGACAUCUAAUUCAGUGUCCUAAAGAAGAAGUUCUCUUUGACUAGAACUGUUGCUCAAAACAAGCUCUAACAGCUUUUGUUGUCUAAAACCCUCAAAUAGCUAUUGGUUUUAGCUUAAGCAGAGGCUUAUAGCGACGGGCUAACUUUGUUUGCUUGCUCCAACCAGAAACUUUUUACUUUUUAUUUGUUGAGCAUCUGAUCUCUUUUCUUGGAGGAAGCUGUUCUAAAAGUUGGGGCCAAACAAGCAGAAAGAAUGUGACUUUGGGAUUGAAUCUUUUCAUGUGUAUGAGAUUUGGUCACCAUGUUUCGGAUGGAAAGGUCUGCGGAAAGUACUGUCAAAACAAGCUGCCUUAAGUGUAGAUUUUGCCAUUUGAGAAAGCUUUUAGAGUUAAGAAGGGCCUACAAAUCAUAACUAAUGAUUCAGUUUUCUAAAUUCACAAUUAAAAAAAAAGAUCAAAUAACUAUAAUUGCGGAUUAAAUUGCAAUUUUCUAGCUUCAUUUUAUUUUCACUUGUAGCUUUUCCUUCUGAAGCAGGUUGUAAAUUUUGAUUAAAUGUGCUUUCUUUUCUUUUACCUUUUUUUCGGGGAGUUUCAGUUAGUUCGGAUAUACUUUUCUUUCUAACUAUUAUUAGUUUUUUUGGGAUAUGUUAGCAUUAUGAUCGAGACAUUAUUCUACUUCUGUAUAUUUUGUUCCAGUUUUGUUUUGUUAUGUUUGAAAUUUGUAGUCUAAGCAUAAACUAUGUUUCGAUUAUGACUGUGCGAGGGGGUGUGUCAAUAUUUAAGCCAUUCCAAUGUAGAUGUAAUUUUAGAAAUGUGUAUGUAUUAUAAUGAGAGGAUCAUGAUAAAUUUUAUUAUGGAAUCAAAUAUGAUAACGUCAUAUCUAGUAAUUUGAGAUAAUAUUAGUCCCUUAACCAAACGCAGGAAUAAUAUAUUCCUAGAUAUCUGGAUGAAGUAAUCCAGAUUAUGGGAAUAUUAACAAAUCUGGGAAUAUUAACAAUUCUUAAUAGUCUGGCAUGAUGAGAACCUUAUAGUUAUCUACUUCUAUAUUAUUGCUUUCAAAGUCUCGAUUUUUGCAAACUUGCUAAUGAAUCUUCUUCCUUUUGCCCUGUUUUUUCCCAAAAUUUUGGAUUCUAUUUAGCUUUUUUUUUUUUUUUUGAAAUAGGUAGCACGCUACCCGCUUCAUUUAUUUCAUUUAGAAAUAAACUUAGUUGGAAAUAUGAAUCAACUAGGAUUCGAACUUGGGUCUCGGAUAUCAACCAUCAAGCUCUUUGCUACUUGCUCUAGGGACGAUUGGUCGGAUUCUACUUAGCUAUUGCUAUAGAGAAGGAUUUGUUAUACUGUUAAUUUUGUCUCUCGAUUUUUGUCUUUCAAGUGAACAUAGUUUAAUGGUAUGCGAUUUCUCCUUCAAGUUUCAGUUCAUGGGUUCCUAAUUGUGUGGAUUUUGGUGCUGUACAGAGAAAUGCAUCCAUUUUUAGAAUAACAAAUAAAUAAGAACUUUGUCUUGGUGCCAAAACAAGUUGCACGGGAAUAACAAGGGGUAGAAAUUGUUUAGGUGGUUGCCAAAGUCCACUUUGUCAUUUGCAGUUCAAGCCGACAUAGUCGCCAAUCAUUUUGCCAUUAUUAAUCCUAAUAAGAUAUAAAGAAAAGCGUGUAUUGAAACGUUCAUUAAAAUUCCGGCCUUCUGGGUUUGUCCUCGGAUGCCGACAGCGGUGGAUGUUUGAAAUUUCUAAACCAAAUAAUCGAUAAGACGUCAUUUUUUCUAAAAAUGUUAUUUUCGGUGUUUUAUUUUUGACUCACCAAAUAUGUUUUUGGUGGGAAUAGUUUGCCUAGGAUCUCAAAAGUGAUUUUAGGUUCAAAAAUAAUUUUCGGCUCAAUAGAGUAUUUGAUAAUAUUAUUUUUCUGAUUUUAAUUUUUAUAAUCAAUUUUUUGGUAUUCGAGGUCUAAAAUCGAAAGCAGACAAAAUCUGCUUCUUGAAAUAUGAUUCAAAUUUUGAACUCGAAUUUAAAAUUUUUAUUUUAAUUUUAGGUUAAAAUUUUAAAUUUAAAUUCAAAUUUAAAUUUAAAAUUUAAAAUUUAUAUUUGAAUUUUAGAAUUUUAAAUUUUAAUUUUUGAAUUUUAAAUUGCAGAAUUUUAAAUUUUAAAUUUAGAUAUUAGAUUUUAUAUCUCAAAUUUUAAAUUUUGAUUUUAAAAUUUAAGACAAAAUUUAAAAUUAUAAGUUUUGAUUUUUCAAAUUACAAAUUUUAAAUUUUAAAAAUUCAAAAUUUAAAUUUUAAUUAAAUUGUUAGUUUUAAAUUUUAAUAUUCAAAUUUUAAAUUUCAAAUUUUGAUUUUGUAUUUGAAAUUGAAAACAUAAAUUUAGAUUUAAAAUUUUAAAUUUCAAAUUUUCAAUUAUCAAAUUUAUAUUUUAAAUUAAAUAUCAAAAUUUAAAAUUUUGUGCAAAGUUAUAAUUUAAAAUUUAAAUUUAAAUUCAAAUUUUAAUUUUUAAAUAAAAUUUAGUAAAAAAAAAUUUAUUAUAUGCAAAUAUCAAAAAGAAUUUGCUAAAUGUUUUUAAAAAAUCACCUGAGAAAUAUCGCCUUCUAUAUAAACUCUGCCCCAAAUAUUCUACAGUUUUUAGCUAAAAUUAAUUCUUCAAAUUAAAAUCAAUGUAGAAAUUAUAUUUUUAGAAUUUAAGUCUAGCGGGCCUCUUGCUGUGUCAAUUUCGUUAUUUUCUUUGUCGCUCAGUUUCUGCUGGCACAGUUGCCUCGUGCCCUCGUCCGUUUUGCAACUAUUCAGCUAAUGGAGACGAAGAAAAGGGUCCAUUUGGAACACUUUUAUCAGAGUAGUGGCCUUUCGGGCAUGAGCAUUUAAAAUGCAUGAAAAAUUAGAAAUUGAAAUUCGUGUUUUUUAAUAUCAUUCACAUGGUGAUAUCAAAUUUAAUAACUCUUUAAGAUAUCAUUUGGUUCGGGGAUAAGCAAAAAGUGGCUAUUUCAGGAACAGAUAUAAAUUGAGCUAUAAACGGGGAUUAGAUCAAUUUUGCGUUCUGAUGAAAAUUGAGUUAUUUCUGAGAAUAAAAAAAAUAGCGUUUGGUUAGAUAAGAUGGAAUAAUUAAGAAGGAUAGUGGGUUUUAUAAAUAAAAAGUAAUGAUAUUAUUCUCUUAUUAUAUUUGAAUUUGAAUUUUUAAAAUUUUAUAUUUAUAUUUUUAAAUUUAAAAUUUUAACUUGAAAUUUUAAAAUUUGAAAUUUAAAAUCUCAAAUUUUAAAUUCAAAAUUUUAAAUUUUAAAAUUCAAACUUUAAAUUUAAGAUCAAAUUUAAAUUUGAAAAAUAUAAAAUAUAAAAUUUUAAAUUUCAAAAAUUNUUUAAAUAUAAAUAAUAUGUAUUAAUAUAGUACAAUUAAUAAUUUUAUAAUAAAAAUAAUGUAUUAUAAUAUAUAACAUAUUAUAUUUAUUUAAUUUAGUUUUAAUUCAAUUUAUAAUUUUAAUUAAGAUUGAAAUUAAGUAUUGGAAUAGUACUAUUCCACCAAAAUGAUGGAAUAGCAAAUUUCUUGCUAUUCCGGGAUAAUCGGGAAUAGCAAGAUUUGACCGGGAUAAAAUAUCCCGAUCAAAUUUCACCCCGUUUGGCCGAAUAGCGGGGAUAACGAAAGUUAUCUCUGCUUAUCCCUCGAACCAAACGGCCAGUGUCAAACAAUCCCGAUUAAUUAAAUUUUCAAUAAAAAAAGGUUUUUUUUUAAAAAAAAUAAAUCUAGAUUAUGUUUGGCACCCCUAAACUCAAAAUUGAGAAUUUCCAACCUCUACUUUUGGGACCUAUUUAAAUUGAGAAUCAUCAAAAAAAAAAAAAAGCUAUUACGUAAAAUAGAAUUCGGGCGGAACAUAUUUCAUAUAUUUCUGAUUCUUUGUUUUUCGCUAUAAGUACACCAAAAAAUAUCAUACAUGUAAUUUUCUCGCAAUUCCAAAUGCAACUUUAUAAGGUACUUGGAUUCAAUUCAAAAAAAUGUGAUAUAUGUAAUGAAAUCUAUUCAAUCUAAAAACUUAAAAAUAGUCGGUCUGGAUCUACUAGCAUAUAUCAAUUCUUUGCUUUUUUAUUAAUCCUCAUCCUAUGUGGGACUAUUUAUAUGUGAGCUCUAGCGUGCAUAGAUUAAAAUAAUAAAAAAGUAUUAACACUCUAAAAACAAAUAAGAUUGGUCAAAACUGUAAAACUAUUAAACAAAAAAUAGAUCCAAACCUUUUGCUUUCUUCACAUACAAAUGUGGCCCCAACAAUCCCGCAUCCAACGGCUAGCAACAGAGGCUCUGUCAAACUAUUUAUUUUUUGGAUUGAGACUCAAUCAACUUCUCAUUGUUAGAAUAAAUAUUCUAGUUAAACAAAUUUAGAAGUUUAUCAAAUUCAUUGAUAAUUUUACUUAAAUUUAAUAAUCUAAUCACUUUUUAAUAAAAUAAAAUUGUGUGAAUAGUCAAAAACUAUUAGAGUUAUUAAAUUUGGUAAAUUUUUAACUUAACUUAAUUAUAAAAACUCAAAUAGCAAAAAUUAGAAGUUGAGAGAGUUUCCAUAAAAAAAAAUAAAAUAAAAGUGGAGGGGUGUAUUUUAGGAUGACCUAUAGUUGAGGAGGUCUCCAUACACUUUUGCCAAAAAAAAUUUUGGCCUGUUCCUCAAAUAAGAAAUACUAAAGUUUACAACCCAAAAGAGCUGUAAUUACAAUCCCCUGUGGGCCCGGUUUGGUUCGGCGGAUAAGCGAGGAUAACGAAAGUUAUUCCCGCUAUUCCGCCAAACGGAAUCAUUUUUUACCGAAAUAUUUUAUUCCGGUCAAAGCUUGCUAUUCCCGGUUAUUCUGGAAUAGCAAGCUUUUUACUAUUCCACCAUUUUGGUGGAAUAGUGCUAUUAAAAAAAAAAAAAAGGAAAAAAGUUGGAUUAGAAAGGUAGGAUUACAACCCAAAUGGGUUGUAGUCCAAACACUCCUGAUCCCAAAUGGGUUGUAUUCCAGGUGAAGUUUUUAAGUUAAUUUUUUUAUUUUUUGACAAGGCAACUUAAAAAAAAAAAAAAAAGGGAAAAAAGUUGGAUUAGAAAGGUAGGAUUACAACCCAAAUGGGUUGUAGUCCUAACACUCCUGAUCUCAAAUGAAUUAAAAUAUAUAUAUAUAUAUAUAUAUAUAUAUAUAUAUAUAUACACAGAGAGCCUUGAACUUUAUCUCAUUUGUAAAUAACCACAUGAACUUUUUAGUUCUAAACAUAAUAAAAUAGUUCAAUUGAUAUUUCUUUUGAAUUACAAUAACGGCAUGUUUGGUUCACCUAUUUUAAACUAUAGAAUUAAAAUAAAAUUUAUUGAUUCCGAUAGUUGUUGUUUGUUUUAUAAGAACCAAAUUUUGUUUCUCAUUCCACUCUAUAAUGAAAAUGACUCAAUUCAUUUAUGACUCAAUUCAGCAUUUCGCACUUUCUUACUUUAGUUUCCUGUGGUUUCGCACUUUCUCACUUUAGUACCAUGUGGUUUAAAAACCACAUGGUACUAAUUUGAUACGAAAAUAAAAUCACAGAGUACUAGCUUGAUACACUUUAAACCACAAGAUACUAAAGUGAGAAAGUGCGAAACCAUAGAAUACUAACUUGACACACUUUAAACCACAGGAUACUAAAAUGAAAAGUGCGAAACCGCAGGGGUUUUUUUGAAGUUUUCCCUUUCUUUUAUUACUCUCCCUUAUCUUAACCAAAACCCUCUCUCAAAAUUUUAUAUUCUCCUUCCAAUUUUCAUUCCAAAUAUUUUCGGAUGAUUCGUCAUUUCAUCUUCCAUUCCAAAACAAUCCAAUUUAUUUUUUAUUUCUAUUUCAAUCAUGAACCAAGUAUGCCGUAUGUCUUAUAUAUAUAAUCUUAUAAAAUUUCAAAAAUAUAAAAGAAAAAAAAUCCGAUUCUAAUAUAUUAAAAAUUAAUAAAAAUUAAAGUUCAGUUUAAUCUAUUCUUGAAUUCUCAUACUUAAUUAUCAAAAUUGGAAGAGAAACAUAAACAUUUUCAUAUAUGGAAGCCUUACACAAUUAUAUGCAAAGUUCAGAAGGUCAAACUAUCAACAUUAAAAAGUUUAGAAGGCAAUGUACAAAACCAGCCAAAGUUUAGGGGUCUUUUCACAUUUUUCCCUCCCAUAAAUAAUCCAAUUACUAAGUACACCAUUUAUUUCGAAAGAAAAAUUAGAAAAACUUCAAAUACCACCCUGUGGUUUCGCACUUUUUUAUUUAGUACCCUAUAGUUUAAAGUGUAUCAGUUUAGUGCUCUGUCCAUUCAUUUUUAUUUUUUUAUUAUUCCCUCCACUAAUUUUUUUUAUUAAAUCAGUGACAAAAUUAAAACUAAAAGAUAUUAAAGUGAAUAUUUGAUAAACCUAGGUAGGGUAUUUGAUGUUUUUUGUAUAUACUUUAACGAAAUGUUAAUGAAGGAGCUGACGAAAUGAGAAAAAUAAAACUACAGGAUACCAAAUUAGUAUACUUUAAAUUAUAAA